GACGAACGCUGGCGGCGUGCUUAACACAUGCAAGUCGAACGGAAAGGCCCUGCUCUUGUGGGGUGCUCGAGUGGCGAACGGGUGAGUAACACGUGAGUAACCUGCCCUUGUCUUUGGGAUAACUCCUGGAAACUGGGGCUAAUACACGAUAUGAGCUCCUGCUGCAUGGUGGGGGUUGGAAAGAUUCGGCGGUUGGGGAUGGACUCGCGGCCUAUCAGCGUGUUGGUGGGGUAGUGGCGUACCAAGGCGUUGACGGGUAGCCGGCCUGGGAGGGUGACCGGCCACAUUGGGACUGAGAAACGAGCCAGACUGCUACGGGAGGCAGCAGUGGGGAAUAUUGCACAAUGGGCGGAAGCCUGAUGCAGCGACGCCGCAUGCGGGAUGACUGCCUUCGGGUUGUAAACCGCGUGCGCCUGUGACGAAGCGUGAGUGACGGUAAUGAGUAAGGAAGCACCGGCUAACUACGUG
rnacentral:rRNA from 1 species